rnacentral:lncRNA from 1 species
CCAAAGGUACGGGUUGUGGGUGGGCAGCUGGGCAGCCUGUGGGCCAACGGCUGCUAGAGAAGGGGCCAGGCCCUGUGACCCUAUGGUGUACCCUGCCCUGUCUGGGCCAGGAACCCAAGCCCAGCUCUCACCUGUUACCUCUAGAGCUACUCCGUUCUACCCCCAGAGCACGUGGCCAGCCUGUGCCACUCUUAUGAGGAGAAGCAAAGCCCCUUGCAGAAGCACUUGGGGCCUUCAACCUACGCAGAGGCAUCUUCUUCAUGUCCCUCUGCCACCCCAGGAACAUAAAAUACUGCCCCAGCCCCAGGUCUGUCUUUCCUUGGACAUAGCCCACCUACCUUCCUGUGGGACUCAGGGCUUUGUUUUGUCCUGUGGCCCACAUGAGAAGCAAUUAUCCCUGCUCUGCUCAGCUGAGAGGACAAACUGAGGCAGAGCAGGGGAACAACUCUGUCAUAGUCUGCCUGUUAAUGGCAGAGUCAAGACCAGCCCUUCCCUGAGUGUCAGGUCCAGUGGACACCAAGCGUGGAGGCUGUAUUAGUCCAUUUUGCAUUGCUCUAGAGGAUUACCUGAGACUGGAUUAUUUAUUUUUGAGACAAAGUCUAGCUCUGUCGCCCAGGCUGGAGUACAGUGACACAAUCUCAGGUCAUUGCAACCUCCGCCUCCUGGGUUCAGGCUAUUCCCCUGCCUCAGCCUCCUGAGUAGCUGGAAUUACAGCCAUGCACCACCAUGUCUGGCUAAUUUUUUGUAUCUUUAGUAGAGACAGGGUUUUGAGACAGAGUUUCACUCUGGGCCAGGCUAGAGUGCAAUGGCGUGAUCUUGGCUCACUGCAACAUCUGCCUCCCAGGUUCAAGCAAUUUUCAUGCCUCAGCCGCCCAAGUAGCUGGGAUUACAGGCAUGCACCACCAUGCCUGGCUAAUUUUGUAUUUUUAGUAGAGACGGGGCUUCACCAGGUUGGCCUGGCUGGUCUUGAACCCUUGACCUCAAAUGAUUCACCCGCCUCGGCCUCCCAAAGCGCUGGGAUUACAGGCACGAACCACUGCUCCCAGCCCUGAGACAGGGUAAUUUAUAAAAGAGGUUUCUUUGCCUCACAGUUCUGCAGGCUGUACAAGCAUCUGCUAGGCUUCUGGUGAAGCCUCAGGAAGCUUUUACUCCUGGUGGGAGGCAAAGAGGGAGGAGGUGUGUUGCAUGGUGAGAGAGGACGCAAGAGACGGGAGGCAUCAGGCUCUUUUAAACAACUAGCUCUCUGGCGAACUCAUAGAAAACUCACUCAUUGAAUCACUCGAACCAGGGAGGUGGAGGAUGCAGCGAGCCGAGAUCGUGCCACUGCAUUCCAGCCUGAGCUGUGAGGGAGACUCUGUCUCAAAAACAAAAAGAAAAAAGAAAAAGAAAAAAAAACCUCACUCAUUACUGUGGGGAGGCCACUAAGCCAUUCAUGAGGGAUCUCCCACCAUGACCCAAGCACCUCACACUCUAGGCCCCACCUCCAGCAUUGGGGAUCACAUUUCAACACCAGAUGUGGAUGGGACAAGUAUCCAAACUAUGUCAGAGGCCUCCCCCUCCCUCUCAUCAGAGUCUUCUGUCCUCAGUUCAGGUGCAUGCUGUCUUCCAUGCCUGGCUUCCUAGGAAGUCAUCUUGGCCCGAAGGGGUUGGGCAGGGCCACUAGGCCGAAGGUUGGAGCCCUAUCUCUCCUAGUCCCAGCCUGGGUCUCCAUCACUGGCUAACCAGCCCUGUCACUUUGGCCUUGGGCAAGUCACCUGUGCCCUGCUUCCCUUUCCCCAGCAGCCAGAUGGGGAUAAUAGCAUCUAUUUCACCCAUAAUCAAGUGCUCACUUGUUAACAGGAACUGAGUCCCAGAGGAGGUGCAGGUGGAGUCAUUGAAGCAACACUGCAGCUGGACCUGGGUCUGAGUCCCUGCUCCUGGCUGUGAGAUGCGCCUCUCCCUCUGUUUAUUCAUCUGAAGGAUAGGGCUGUGCUGUUCUGGGUUUGCUGUGACAAUUGAACUGGCCUCUGUGAGUUGGUGGUGGCCUCCUGAGAUGGCUUGAGGUGAGCUGGAGGUGUGUAUUGAAUGCCCCCUCGCACCCACGGGGAAGACCCACUUAAGGAA